rnacentral:lncRNA from 1 species
AUCUGCCUUCAGGUCAGGUCAUGAUCCCAGGGUCCUGGGAUAGAGUCCCGCAUCAGGCUUCUUGCUUGGUGGGGAGCCUGCUUCUCCCUCUGCCUGCUGCUCCCCCUCUGACAAAUAAAUAAAUAAAAUAAUAAAUAAACAAAAUCUUAAAAAAAAUACCUUCUGCUUUUCCCAGAGAUGCAGACAGAAAAUGGCCUUGGAAUCCCUUGAGCAAUAAAUCACUAUUGACAGACUGAAGGUGGUUGGUUUUGGAUGGUGCUCUGAAGACAGCUGCUCUGGGAGGGUGGCUGUACAGCUCUGUUGAUCACAUCAGCCAUGGAAACCCCUUCGACUGGGAGGUUCAGGUGGACUCCUGGCCUGAGUGCCAGAUGCUCAUUAUCCGGCCUCAGAAACAGUUUUUGAGUGAGGAGAAGACAAAUUCAUUCCCUGGGAUGAAUAAAAGUUGUCAAAUGGACAAAAUGGACAACUUUUCAAAGUGA